CUUGAUGGAUCCGAGCCACAGCGGGUUGUCCCUGGAGCGGCCUUGUCCGUAGGUGGCGAGCAGUGCCUGCGCCUC
rnacentral:antisense_RNA from 1 species